ensembl:miRNA
CAGGUGUGGCAUCGCGCUGAAAUACUGUGGACACUGUCGACCAAGUGAAACGUUGAGGUGGCUUGUUGAUCAAAUAGGCCUUCUUGCGUAGCACUUGAAUUGUCAGAAAGUAAGUGACUAUC